rnacentral:rRNA from 1 species
UACAGAGGAUGCAAGCGUUAUCCGGAAUGAUUGGGCGUAAAGCGUCUGUAGGUGGCUUUUUAAGUCCGCCGUCAAAUCCCAGGGCUCAACUCUGGACAGGCGGUGGAAACUACCAAGCUGGAGUACGGUAGGGGCAGAGGGAAUUUCCGGUGGAGCGGUGAAAUGCGUAGAGAUCGGGAAGAACAUCAGUGGCGAAGGCGGUCUGCUGGGCCGUUGCUGACGCUGAGGCGCGACAGCGUGGGGAGCAAACAGG